GCAUUGAUAGCUGAGUAGAAAAAGUUUUGUCUCCCAUAUGGGAGACCUGGGUUUGAUUCCCAGUCAAGGUG
rnacentral:tRNA from 1 species